UACAACGUGUUCUGCCACAACAAAGCAGUCAAAGGUCUACUCUUGCAGUUCCACACACCUACGUCGGGUGUUACCGAGAUCAAGUGAUCCGUUUACUUCCACAUAACCUGAACAUGGACCGUAGAUACAUGACAAUUGAAGCCUGCAAACUACGCUGCUACAGACGACACCACACCUAUUUCGGAAUCGAGGAUGGACAAGAAUGCUACUGUGGUGAUCUCAUCAUAUAUUGGUACAGCAAAGAACCUGACUCUGAAUGCCGCAGGCCAUGUUCUGGUGACAAAUCUAAAUUCACGAUGUGUGGAGGACACUGGAGGAUAUCCAUCUUUAAGAUAGGCUAGUGGAAAACGGAGUUAUCUUUGUUGCCUGAUAUCGCUGAGGUGCCAUUGAGGUUUUUUUGUGUCUAAUAUUGUUUCGAUUGAAUUCCAUAAAUUCCAUUAUCACCUCAGGUUUCUGAAUAUAAAUUGUGAACUGCCCCAACCUUCCUGUGUUACUGUCACGUAAGCACCAGCGUUCAUUAUUUCCGACUAUACUCUCAUACAUGUACAUAUGUCAGAAAACAAUGUCUUGAUGUAAGUCGCGAUUGACGAUA